rnacentral:rRNA from 1 species
UACGUAGGGGGCUAGCGUUGUCCGGAAUCAUUGGGCGUAAAGCGCACGUAGGCGGCCUCAUAAGUCGGAUGUGAAAUCCCUCGGCUCAACCGAGGACGUGCAUCCGAAACUGUGAAGCUCGAGUAUGGAAGAGGGUCGCGGAAUUCCCGGUGUAGAGGUGAAAUUCGUAGAUAUCGGGAGGAACACCAGUGGCGAAGGCGGCGACCUGGGCCAAUACUGACGCUGAGGUGCGAAAGCGUGGGGAGCAAACAGG